AAAUAUCGGAUGGGUCAGGCUGCAACUCCCGUUUAUCUUUCUGUGAAACAAGUUAAGUCGUCAAUAUGUUUACACUAACAGGUGCCAUGUCGAUGUGAAACGUAACAGACUGUGAUGAGUUGAAAGUCAGUUUUGAAUAGCAGACAAAGGCUAAACACCGGCUCAACGCUAAACUGGCGCGGAUCCAGGGCUCCUGCCACACCAGCCCAAACCCCAGUCCCGGUCCCACUCUCGCCAAAGGCUCAGCCGCCGCCCCUGGUCCAGAGACGACGGCAGGUUUAAAAUGUGCAGAUGGGGCUGUACUGAAGUAAACACGACCUAUAUGUGUAAAUGGUGUGGGACCCGCUAUUGUAAGGAAUGUGGUAGAGGCGAGUUUAUCGGCGAGAUGUCAUCACCAAAUAAAUGCAGAGUAUGCUUCCAGUUAAAAUGCCAGGGCCCGUUGGUGGAAUUUGCACCAAGAGGUAACUCAUCAGACAAAGACAAAGAAAGGAGCACAUCCUCCAGAACAGAAAAAUCAGCAAAAAGCAAGAGCACUUCCUCAAAAAAAGUCAACAAAUAAAAGAA